rnacentral:rRNA from 1 species
UACGAAGGGGGCUAGCGUUGCUCGGAUUGACUGGGCGUAAAGGGCGCGUAGGCGGUUCGUACAGUCAGACGUGAAAUUCCUGGGCUCAACCUGGGGGCUGCGUUUGAUACGUGCGGACUUGAGUGCGGAAGAGGGUCGUGGAAUUCCCAGUGUAGAGGUGAAAUUCGUAGAUAUUGGGAAGAACACCAGUGGCGAAGGCGACUAACUGGACAUGUAUUGACGCUGAGGUGCGAAAGCGUGGGGAGCAAACAGG